CUUGGGGAUAGGGAGGGGGAGGUAGUGAAAUCCUUUUGUAGCCUUGUAGCCUGAGUUUGCUAAAGUAUUUGCUGCACUUAAUACGGGGCUGUUUGGUUUCGGUCUGCUGAUCCCAGAUCUUGUAGUUUCAGCAGCCCUGUGCCCCGGGAAUCCCAUAAAAAUAAAUCACUCCAGCUUCUAGGAUCCCAAGCACAGCUCAGCGGGGGAAGCAGAUAAGCAGUUCUCCCAGCAGACCCGAAGCGGCUCCUCCCCAAUCCUCUCUGGCCUUUGUACCCUGCAUCCUCCAAGCUGAGUGUAGGGAGGGAUCCAGAGAGGCCCAAUGCAGGGCAAGUGUGCUCUGAGAUUUCCCCCAAGCCUGCUUGUAUACGAAGGGUUGAAUUUGGUCCCAGAUCUGAUAGGGUUGAAGCCGCAAGCAAGUUCACACUUUACCCCACCUCGGAAAGGAAGGUGGACUGAGAGGGCCUGAAGAAAAAGCAUCCCAUGGCCACCCACCAGCCAAUCCUACCUGCUCCCUAAGUCCCCUUCCUCCUCCCCUGUCCAAAGCCUGCAGUGCAUUUCACCAACUCCGCUUUUUCCAAAAGGCCCAGGAAUACUAAAUGGGGCCCAAGUGUAGGGGGGGAGAAGAGCAGGGAGGAAGGGGGCGUGGCUGCAGCAAACGGCUUCCUUUUGUAGCUCUGAGCCCAGGUCAAGUAUCAGUGCACGACGGAGUCUCCGUUCUCCUCCUCGGAGCCCGAUGCUGGGGGACGCAGGGGGGACGGUGUAGUCCGAGUCGCGUCGCUGUCGCCCUCAUCCGGCUCAGCCGGGUGCAGGUGCGUGGCGAGCUCCUGUAGCACCGCCGCGCGUCCGAUCUGGUCAUUGCGCCGCUUCUCCAUGAUCAAGUCCUCCAGGCUCUGGAACUCGAGAGUGUGGCUGCGCUGAGCAGAGAGCUGAAUCUGCAAACGGUAGGGCUGCUUGCCGAUGCGCAGCUCGCCACCGAUCUUGAACUCGCGUUUGCCAUAGCGGCACCAGGCCGCAAAGCUCUCGGAGUUGCGCCAGCUGAGUUCGCGCUCCUUGGCGCCCACGUGGGCCAGCGCGUUGCGCACGACAGCGCUCGGGCUCAGUGGCUUGUAGCGAUACAGAUCAUUGACCACGCGGCCGCGCCGGCCCUGGCUCGCAUCAGUCAGGAAGCUGUUGCUCACCUCCAGCCGGUGCAAAUGCACCACCUGGAAAUUGCCCACGUAGACAGCCCAGUGCGGGUAUUGCGCUUGCGAUACAAACUCCACCAGGUCACCCGGACUGCACUUGUUGAGCAAGUUCUCCGGUGUGUAGGUGCUCAGAGCCGCCGAUCCCGGCGCGAAGCUUUUCUGAUAGAUGCACUCAUCACGAUAAAACACCGAGCAUUCCACCUCGUGCUGCCGCGGGUCGUAGGGCUGCGGCGGGGGAAGGGGAGGCCGAUCCCCGGAGUCGGACAAAGCUCCGCCAUCAAGCCCCUGGGGCGGUGGCUGAGGUUCCACAUCCUCGUCGUCAUUGGAGAAAAUAUAAGAGACUCCGAUGCGGGGCCCAUCAUCUCGAUCCACGCCGGUCGGGUCGGCCGUGGGAACUUCCUUAUAACUUAGGUGGGUCAGUUUUUCCACCUGGUUGCCCAUAACGCUGUGGACGCUCGUUCACAAGACUUCAAGAGGAGAAAGCGAAACCACCGUCAGAGUCAUUGGCACUGGUGCCCGGGCAGGGGCUAAAGCCACCUGUUGGAAGAGAAGACGAGGGAGAUGUUUGUAGGUGCCACUCCAGAAAAAGACGUUUGUUUCUUGAAAAAGAACCGGUAGGGGCCCGAGCACCUGGAGCCAUUUUAGGAGAAGUCUGGGGGACGUGCUUCCUCGCGUUUCUACACCACUAAGGUCACGAUCACUGGAGACAUGGCCACUCCAGCUUUCCCCUUCCUCCAGCUAUCACCUGGACCCAGCCAAAGCCAUUGCAUCAGCAGCUCCGACAGCUUCCGCCCGCGCCCUACCUGCCAACCCUGGGCAGGAGUGGGGGAGGGAAGGAAAUAGAAACUUUAUUCCAAUUUCCUUCUCUUUCCUAACUUCCCCUCCCACUCCGGAUCAUAACUAGCCUUUUGACGUCCUUCAAUGUCUGCACCCCCAAGAAUCUGCUAGGCUCCCUCGGCGUGGAGGUGACAGGUGAGCCUCCGGACCAGACUCACCUGCCGCAAGUCACUGCGGCUCGUCGGCCCCUCCCCCGUGCGCCUGCCCUGGGGUUCAGAUUACCUGCGCGGACUCUCUCCCCGAGAGGUAGAAGCCCUAGGGGACCGGGAGGGGCACCCUGCCGCACCCGAGACUUCUAGGGCGAGUUCGCAGGUGUGGGCUCCGCAGUACCUCCUCUCCCAGCGCAGACCGAGGCGAAGCUGGGCUUCGGGGAAGGAAGCAUUUCUCCCUCGCUGCCCCCCGCGGCUGUGUAGAGCCCCAAGACUUAAAGAUGGGGGGCAAUGCCUGUUCACGCUCGUUGCUGCACAACCCCUCACGCAGAUUUCCGGGAAGAGGACAGAACCUGGGCUGUUGUACAAGAUAGUUACUGUGGCCUUCAAGACUUGACUGGAGGAGACAUGAGAUAAAUAAGCAGAAGAACAAAUAAAAGUGCCUGAGAUCAGGACUGUGAGGAACGUAAGACAGCACCCUGAGAUUGAGUAGCUGUCCUGAAGGAGAGAGUGGCAGGGACGUCACUGGCCUACUUUACAUGAGAUGGCCAAGGAGGACCCCUCAAGAAAUGGAAUUUGGGCUGAGACAUAAAGAAAAAAAAGGGCUGGCAUUGCUAUCCACUCUAGAAGGAAGAUGGGAACAGUGGAAGGAUGGAGCUGAGAGCGUUUAGAGAGUAGGGGAAAAGGAGAUUGAGAUGAGAGUACACAAUGGGCAGGGCCUGGAGGCAAGAAACCUCCUGAGCUAAAAAUAGAGUCAGUGAAAACACUGUACCAGUGGUGGCUAUUGUACUUGCAUUUUUUUUUUUUAGAGAAUUUUGUUGAUUAAUCAUUCAACCACAGUAACCCAAAUUUCAUAUUCUCUGCACCUGCUCUAAGAAGAAACAAAAUAAAAACAAGUUGUGUUC
ensembl:processed_transcript 9930014A18Rik RIKEN cDNA 9930014A18 gene